AGUGGUGUAGCUCAGUGGUAGAGCACUUGCCUAGGAUGUAUGAGGCCCUGGAUUUGAUUCCCAGUACUGCAA
rnacentral:tRNA from 1 species